rnacentral:rRNA from 1 species
GGAUAACGCAGCGAAAGCUGUGCUAAUACCGCAUACGAUCUACGGAUGAAAGCAGGGGAUCGCAAGACCUUGCGCGAAUGGAGCGGCCGAUGGCAGAUUAGGUAGUUGGUGAGGUAAAGGCUCACCAAGCCUUCGAUCUGUAGCUGGUCUGAGAGGACGACCAGCCACACUGGGACUGAGACACGGCCCAGACUCCUACGGGAGGCAGCAGUGGGGAAUUUUGGACAAUGGGCGAAAGCCUGAUCCAGCCAUGCCGCGUGCAGGAUGAAGGCCUUCGGGUUGUAAACUGCUUUUGUACGGAACGAAACGGUCUUUUCUAAUACAGAAGGCUAAUGACGGUACCGUAAGAAUAAGCACCGGCUAACUACGUGCCAGCAGCCGCGGUAAUACGUAGGGUGCAAGCGUUAAUCGGAAUUACUGGGCGUAAAGCGUGCGCAGGCGGUUAUGUAAGACAGUUGUGAAAUCCC